rnacentral:tRNA from 1 species
GCCCGUCUGGCGAAACGGCAGACGCGCCUGUCUGAGAGGCAGGUGUCCGAAAGGACGUCCCGGUUCAAAUCCGGGGAUGGGCA